GCCUCCUUAGCUCAGCUGGUAGAGCAACUGACUUGUAAUCAGUAGGUCGCUGGUUCGAUCCCGGCAGGAGGCUCAA
rnacentral:tRNA from 3 species